UACGGAGGGGGCUAGCGUUGUUCGGAAUUACUGGGCGUAAAGCGCACGUAGGCGGAUAUUUAAGUCAGGGGUGAAAUCCCGGGGCUCAACCCCGGAACUGCCUUUGAUACUGGGUAUCUGGAGGUCGAGAGAGGCGAGUGGAAUUCCGAGUGUAGAGGUGAAAUUCGUAGAUAUUCGGAGGAACACCAGUGGCGAAGGCGGCUCGCUGGCUCGAUACUGACGCUGAGACGCGAAAGCGUGGGGAGCGAACAGG
rnacentral:rRNA from 1 species